AGAGAGGCUGCCAUGAGUGUGCUAAGUUUCUGAUUUCUGUGAUCAUAGCAAGAUUGUCCUAAAUUAGACACAAGGUUGGGAAGUAACGCUCAAGCUCUACUGAAAGCUGAGGUUGGCUUUGAAUGCAGCUGCUUAAUCUACUGACUAUCUGCCGACUUGAACACAGUUGCCGUUCUCCCCUGAAGUGACAGAUUAAGUUUGUGGAGCAGGUUGAAUGUGUCACACAAGCUUUGAAUGUUUGAGACUACCUUGGCCACCAGAUUGUGUUACCUGGAAGUUUGGUCCCAAGCAAGAAGCCACAGGGAGAGACAGCGAGGCAACUCUAUGCACAUGCAAUGAACACUGAGACUGAUAUCACUGAGACUUUCAGAGGACAAUGGACUCAUUAUGGAUCUCACAUCUUUCCUAGACUCUGUUCUUUGCUCUUGGGUCUUCUCUACUCAGACUACCUGCCCCCAAAUGCUCCAUCCUCACCAAAAUAUAAAGAUUGAGAAGAAAGUGGGACAAAGGGUGUGGAAUAAAAAAUGUAAGAUUGGCUAUCACCCCAAGGUGAUCAAAUCUAAUGUUGGCUUUGCUCCAGCGGAUCUGUG
rnacentral:lncRNA from 1 species